CCCAAAUCUCAGAGUUGUAUGAUAAAAUAAUUUAUUUAAUAUUUAUUUAAUAUAUUCGCCCAAAUCAGUUUAUAAAAUUAACAAUUUAAAUAGAAAAUAUUUACAAUAGUAGGGCUAGGAACCUUCUAGAAACCAUAAGGCUUUUGUUAAAGGUCCCUAGUUACAAUUCAAAUAAUAUAAUAUUAAAAGUUAAUACCAGUCCAAUUGUUUUCAAAGGAAUUACGGUGAUAUAUUUACAAUAAGGAAAGUGCGUAAAAGAUAUAUCAG